CCCGUGAGCAAGGUUUCUCUCGCACAAGAACACAGGGCUGCCUGCAGGAGAAAUCCGCGCCGGGUUUAGAAGAGGGGAGUGAAGAGACCCUGGCUGGAGGGGCCUUGCCCUGCUCCCACUGUUGCAUAAGGUCCAGUUCCAUAGGAAAUCCCUCUUCCAGAUCGCUCACCCUGGUUCUGCUUCACUGAACAAACCCUAAGUGAUACAGACUGAAUCUCAGCAUUUAUCUACUUGGAGCUUCCUGAUCUUUUCCACGUUUUAGGGAGAAAACUGUUCCUUUUAGCAGCCACUGGAACCAUCUCCACCUCUGAACUUGGAACAAGACACGGCCUGCAAAGCUGGUUUUUCAUUUUUCACGCACUGUUGAUUCUGCGUCUUGAUUCCGUCCUUGCAUCUUGAAGGCAACAACCAGAAAAACAGCCGUGUGACACCCAGCUGGGCUCUAAGUCUUUCUCCUGGAUUUCCGAGCAGACUGGGAGAGUGAGUCAGAGGUCCUUCUGAAGCUUCUCCAGAUCGGAUUAGAUGGAGGGCUGCUCAAGCGUGAGAUACCUUCCCGCCUCCUCUGCUACACGUCCGGACCCUUGUCAACGUGCCUGCAGCGCCAUUUCCACGCGGAAGCUGCGAUCUGCUUCCGGUGAGCUUGGCGUCCUUCCCGGAGGUCACUUGCCUGUGAACCAUGGAAAAAAUUGGCAAAUUGAAUGGAUGUUUGUCCAAAGUCAGACUCAGCACCUUUAUCCAGAAACUCUAAGAAAAAAAAAAAAAAAAGAUGAAGUUUGUCUCAGGAAUUUCAUGAAGACCGCAAUGGCAGCAUACUCUCUGGGUCUAUGGUUCUGAUCUAGUCAACAGUGUCUUCAGAAGGCAGUUCUGAGCUCGUCUUGUGGCCUUAUGAUUCUAGUUGCUCGUUUUAGUUAAUCAUCUGCUUCUGUUAUUUAACACAAACCAGAAUCCACUUUGGGAGAAGGCAAUGGCACCCCACUCCAGCACUCUUGCCUGGAAAAUCGCAUGGAUGGAGGAGCCUGGUGGGCUGCAGUCCAUGGGGUCAUGAAGAGUCGGACACGACUGAGCGGCUUAGCAGCAGCAGCAGCAGGAGCAGCAGAAUCCAUUUUGCUGAUGAACCAGAACCAUCAGCGCUGCCAUUCUUGCUCACUUCCGUGUUUCCUGCCUUAUUUUCUUUUAUUCAUUUUCAACGAGAAGGUAACUCAUAUGCGGGUUUUUUCAACUGCCGAAAGGUACCUGACAUUAAAAAUCUCAGAACGUUUCAGAGAACAAUGACGACAGAUAAUUUCCUACCAUUCAGGUGUUAAAAAAAGAACUAAUCAAUCCAAGCUUGCAAGGUGGGAUGAGCUUGUCUCUGUAGAGAAUGAUGCUGUGGGGAGCAGAGAACUUCCAGAAGGGAAUAAGGAGCAACUCUUGCAAUGUGAGAAUAGAACGGCUUUAUCCUUAACAGACAUACAAUAUAAUUGGAUGUAAUAGGUAUUUGUUGGAUAAACAGUGCCUGACACUGUUCUGACGGUUGAUUUGGGACUUAACUAGGCUCUUUUCUCAAGGGGGCUUCCCAAGUGGUGCUAGUAGUAAAGAACCCCCCCUGCCAAUGCAGGAGGCAAAAGAGAAGUGGCUUCCAUCCCUGGAUCUGGAAGAUUCCCUGGAGGAGGGCAUGGCAACCCACUCCAGCAUUCUUGUCUGGAGAAGCCCAUGGACAGAGGAGCCUGGAGGGCUACAGUCCAUGGGGUUACAAGAGAGUCAGGCAAGACUGCAGUGACUUGACAUGCACAGACUUCUUUUUGGAGUUUCCUUUUUAAUAGGAGACUACCCUCAUUUUCUUGCCGUGUGGACACCCCAACACAGACACUCAUAAAACCAACAGAAGAGAGUUUGCUGGUAGGACCAACGUGACAAUCCUUUCUGACAAAAUCAGGGGGUGACACCCCAGCACCCUUGACACAGCCCGUCAGAAGCCAGUCUUGCCCGUCCUUCCAGGGGGUUAUUUACAGAUGUGACUCACAGGAGGUGGGAAGCACAGAGGCCACCUCCGUGUCUCAGCUCCACAGCUGCCAGGGUCCAGCCCCGGUGGAUCCAGGGUGAUUCGAAGGUGGGGGGACGGAGUCGGCGUCUUUGGAAAAAUACAUAUUUAAUCACAGAUAGAGAGAGAUUAGAAACAGAUAGUGUAGUAGAAAGAUUAGUGGAGAAAAAGAGGCUGAAUAACUUGGAUUACGUGGAAUAGUAUCCAUGCUCCAGAUGGGAAUUCAGCCAGAAAAACGGGAGCAAGAAAGAAGCGACAUGGGGGAAUCAGUCUUUCCGGAAACUGAUCCCAUUUCUUUAUUUUUGGGUUUGCUUAUAUACCUUUUGUUACACAUAGGGAUGAAUACAGAGUCACGCGGGGUCAGCAGUCCUGACCUUUAUCAAAAUCAGGUGCUUCACAUAAAUGUAUAAAAAAAAAGGUCUUAGGAAUAUUACAUCAUCUUCUGGCCAUGAGUGAGACCUGCUGACAUUUUAUGAUCCUUUCUUUCUGAUAACCAAAAACUUAUUUUUCCAAGGGUGUUUUUUCUUAAACCAGGCACCACCCUCCAAAUAAAGUUACAUUCCUAUAGGGUGAGGGUGUAGUGAGUUACAAUCAAGAAAGGAAUUUAUUUAACCCAAGGUUAACAUGAUUAGUCUUAAAGGUUAAUACUUAUUUCUCCUAUAUGCUUAAAGGUUAAUACUUAUUUCUUCCUAUAUGCUAGUUAUAUUCAUUAUAAGAGUAGGGAACAUGGAGAUUUAGCAGCAAACA
ensembl:lncRNA